rnacentral:rRNA from 1 species
UACGAAGGGUGCAAACGUUGCUCGGAAUCAUUGGGCGUAAAGCGCACGUAGGCGGCUCCAAAAGUCGGAUGUGAAAUCCCUGGGCUCAACCGAGGAAGUGCAUCUGAAACUGCGGAGCUUGAGUAUGGAAGAGGGUCGCGGAAUUCCCGGUGUAGAGGUGAAAUUCGUAGAUAUCGGGAGGAACACCAGUGGCGAAGGCGGCGACCUGGGCCAAUACUGACGCUGAGGUGCGAAAGCGUGGGGAGCAAACAGG